AGGUGUCGCGGGCUUUGACCCCUGCGGUGCCGUAGCUAACGCAUUAAGCACCCCGCCUGGGGAGUACGGCCGCAAGGCUAAAACUCAAAGGAAUUGACGGGGGCCCGCACAAGCGGUGGAGCAUGUGGUUCAAUUCGACGCAACGCGCAGAACCUUACCUGGGCUAGAAAAUGCAGGAACCUGGUUGAAAAAUCGGGGUGCUCUUCGGAGAACCUGUAGUUAGGUGCUGCAUGGCUGUCGU
rnacentral:rRNA from 1 species